rnacentral:lncRNA from 1 species
CAACUUUAAUUCAUUCACACUCACAUACUCCCUUCUUUUGCAACUCAACUUUUAGGCUGUCUUGUCUCCCAACACUGCACUAUAACUUAAAGAAAUAUCCUUAGUAAAAACUCCUCCUAAGCAAAAACAAACUCCUCCUCAUCCUUGCUGGAACGAUUCUGAUCCUUUAAACACCAGAAGUAAUCAGCCAAGGCAGGUAGAACCAGCAAAACAGCCGAUCAACUCCUCAAGGUUUUAUUUUAAAUCCCUUGUAUUGUUAAUACCAUCAAAGUAUGUUCUUACCCUUCACAGCACCAAAUCAUUUCAGAUUUUCAGCAACAUAAAAACCCAUGAGAUUCUGUUAAAGAUUAUACCUUUAAUUCAUUUGCAUAAAUUUUCUUCGAGUAUUAUUAAAGACAAGCAAGGAAAUUCCAUAUAGCAUUUUCAGAUUAUGCACAUAAGAGAGUGGACAAAUGACAUUCAUGUAUUCAUACUUUUACAUCAGAGCAUGUUUGUUUUUAAAAGAAGAGAAGAAAGAAGAGUCUUGAGUUUUGUUGGUGCUUGUCGUGUCUGUGUUGCUGUUGUUUUUGAGUCGAGGGAGGCGGCGGCAACUCCACCGCUGCCAUGGGAGGAGACGGCGCAAGGGGGGGCGUCUGUGUGUGGGCGUGUGCUGUGAGGGUCUGAGCGGAGAACAGUGGAGCGGCAGCUUAUCGCUGCUACUCGCCGGAGUCGGGGAAGAGAGCGGCUUCCGCUGCUCGUUGGCGGAAGUCAGAGAGGAUGGAGGCACGGCACGGCAGCGGCGCUGCUGUCGCCCGGCCACGGUGAGAGAGAGGGCAGACCGACGGUGGUUGAAUUCAGCUGCUAUGGCCGCUAGGGUCUGUAGAUAGGGGGAAGGGUGAGGGAGAUGGCCGACCUCGGCACUUCGGCGGAGGGAGGCAGAGCUCGGCGGCCAUGGCUGCUGUUGCUCGGCCACGGACGGAGGAAGAGAGAGGGAGUCGACGGCACUCGUCGUCGCUUCCCUGAGUCGCCGGAGAUCGAGACUAGGGUGGAGGUUGAAGGAGAUAUAGGUUGAAGGAGAUAUAGGUUGAGGGAGAUGGAGGCCGGUCGCCGGUUGUCUCGCCGGAAGGAGCCGCGGCCGUGGGAUAUGGCUGAGAGAGAGAGGUCGAGAGAGAGAUGACAGAUUUAGUUGUAUGCGUGUGUGUGUUAUGCGGCUGGGAAGAAGAAGAAGAGGGGAGGGAGUGUGGGCUUUAGGUUUGGGUUUUGGGAAUUGGGUUUGAUUUUUGGGCUUUGAAUGUUGGGCCUUUGUUUUAAAUUUUCAAUGGGCCGAUUUUUAUGAGUUUUUGGGCCGAGUCAGUUGGGCCGAUAUUCUUUUAUUUAGCUGGGCUCGAUUUAUUUUAUUCAGUUUGGGCCAUGUGUUUUAAAUGAGUAGAGUUAUUUUUGUCAGUGGGCCUCUAAUUAUUUUAAAUCAUGGGCUGCCCAAUUAUUUAAUUUAAUUGGAUUUAUGCAGAUUUUUAUUUAAAGGAGAUACACUAUUUUAAUUAAUUAGACUUAUUAAGUUUGAUUAAUUAUUUUUAAUUUGCAUAAUAAUAUUAUAUUAUUAUUAUGUGCAUAUUUUAAGUAAAUUACUUAAUAAAUGCUAAGCAUGACAUGAAAUUGCAUUUAUUUUGCAAUAAAAGUAUUUAAUUGGUUUUAAUUAUAAUUCCAAUUAUUAAAGAAAAAUGAGUAAGAAUAUUGUUGGUGUUCUUAACUCAAGAGAAAUGUUUUCAAUUUUUUAUUCAUUAAAUUUUGAAAACCCGGCUAAGUGAAUCAUAGAAUAUUAAGCACUACACCAUGACUUAAGAUUAGAAUUCAAGAAGACCUAUUGAGAAUAGAUUUCUUGUAGGCUUUGUGAUGACCAGGAGGAUUAGCGCUACUUUCCCAAGACAGGUUUAUAUGUGUAUGAUCUUCAGGCUUUGCCUAUCCAGGUGGGCUUACUUUCCAAAUGUACAAAGUAUGAUUGAGUUAUUAAGCUCUAAAUGUUUCAAUGAAAUGCAAAUUGUUUAUUUAAUGUAAUGAAAACUGUUUAUCCAAUAAAAUGUUUAUGUGCACUCUGCUCUGUUUAAGGCUCGCAAUUCAUGGAUCGAUCGAGGUUCUCUUAUGGCCUAACACGUUAUUUGAGAAUUGUGUACACUUGUUAGUUGUUUCGGUGGGUUGAUCUCCAUCGGGCACUAAUUCAUGUAAGAGGCGUUAUAAGGGUGCUUGGCUGGAUGUGUUCCGGAGCAUGUAUCAUGUAAGGCCUGCCUGGGUAGCGUCCCGAGGUCAAUUCAACUUGUCUGAGUUACGUCCUCAGGGCAAGUGCAAUGGGAGAAAUGGAUCCGUCGGUGGCUAAAAGGUCCGGGAUCACAGCGAGUAACAGAAAGGGAGUGUGACAUGUGCGCACAAAUGAAAGAAAAUGUUUUAACAUGCUUAGAAGUUAUUUCAAUUUAAAACCUUCUAAGUCAUGUCAAGUAUGAUUGGAUAAACUGUCUUUAUUAAAAUAUAAAAUGUUUCAGAAAAUGCAUGCCCACUAAGUACAUUAGUACUUAGCCCAAAAAUACUUUCAAAUGUUUUCAGGUUGGCUGGCCGGUGCUGACGGGACGGAGCUGAGGCUAGGGUUAAAUUCCUAUUUUAGACUUCCGCUGUAGCAACUACUCAUAUACGUCUUUUGUUUUUCCAACUUAAGAUCUUCAUGUUAAAUUUCAAAUGAUAUAUUUGACCGAGCUUAGAUUCUUCACUACUAAAUUUAUGCCAAUGAAAGUCGGUUGUCAGAAGCAUGAA